rnacentral:tRNA from 1 species
GGAGUUGUAGCUCAGUGGUAGAGCGCUUGCCUAGCAUGUGUGGGUCACUGGGUUCGAUCCUCAGCACCA